rnacentral:rRNA from 1 species
UACGGAGGGUGCAAGCGUUGUUCGGAAUCAUUGGGCGUAAAGCGCGUGUAGGCGGCUUGGCAAGUCGGUUGUGAAAGCCCGGGGCCCAACCCCGGAACUGCAUCUGAAACUGCCUGGCUAGAGUCCCGGAGAGGAAGGCAGAAUUCCCGGUGUAGGGGUGAAAUCCGUAGAUAUCGGGAGGAAUACCAGCGGCGAAGGCGGCCUUCUGGGACGGUGACUGACGCUGAGACGCGAAAGCGUGGGGAGCAAACAGG